AAUUUUUAAAUAGAGGGUAUGAAAUCGCAAAUGGACAUAAAAUUACAAAUGAUGGUCGUUUUGCCAAUAGGUUUUCUGCGUUGAAAUCUCCGUUAAAAUGCAUCACUGGAAAUAUAAUAAUACCCCUCACUUUCUACGUCCAUUAAUAAUAAUAUGAUGCAUCCUGUGUCGUAAGAUUACUAAGUUGGCUUGAGAACAGAUUAAAUAUUUAAGUGAGCACAGAUAACACAGAUUUGAUCUAAAAUAUCUUAACAAUAUAUAAGCUUUAAUUUUUAUUGUUUAUUGUUUAUUGUUUAAAAUAUUGGUGAUUUAAUUUGGUUUAAGCGGUGCACAGGUCGAAACGGAAAUAUUUGCGCUAAUAGGUUCAAAAACAAUGAUCACUUUGUUUUGUCCUAUCUGAUUAAUCUAUGAAUUGAACUAUUUCUAAAGUAUUCUAUGCUUCAAGGUUUAAAAGUAUGAAUAAAUCCUGUAAAGAAUGUAGAGUAUAGCGGAUCCUAAACUAUAAAACUGAAGAUAUAUAACAUUAUUGCCCAGUAGUGCUCUCUCAUACAUUCACAUGAAUUCAAUUCAAAUUGAAAUAUAAAAUCAUCAAAAAUUCACAGUGCAUCACGCCUAUUAGGACUGAAUUAAACUACGUCAAAACGAACCAGCUUACUCGCCUAAAACUCUAUUUAUAAAUCUUUUUAUCUUAUAAUCUGAGAAAUUUUAUAAUAUUAAAAAGUUGAAGUUUAAACUAUCAAAGGUUUGUACCGUUGUUGAAAAGAUAUAUGAGCGAAAAAAUAGAGUUUAAGACAAGUAACCAUUUCUGAUAUUCCCGGUUUAAUGCAAAAAUAGCAGUCUACAACAAAGCAUACUGCAACUACAAUACAAAGCUUUAAGAGAUGUUCCAAACUGUUUUUAAGUGAUGAGUGAUGCCAGUCAAAAGUUAAGGCUUUAGUGUAAAUACUAGUCUCUGCGUAAGGGAUUAGAUUCAAUUAUCAAGAGUCCUGGGAUAGAAAGCUCAAACAAGAAUACAAGCUCAAGACCUAUCCCUUUAUCCUCUGCUGGUCCUGUCAGAGAUCCUGUUCUGUUCACUAAACUUGUUGCACUUCAGGAAUCAUUAUCUUUCAUUCUACCAUUUCGGAUUAAUAUACUGUGAGACUGAGAGCCAGAAAACUGAAACAGAGACACUAGCAAUAAGUGAUUUUGAUGUUAUUACAAAACAAAUAAAUAUAAACUUAGAUCAUUUUCUGCGGUAAAUGA